GAGGGAGUUCCAAGGAAGGUAACCGGAUGCUUCCUGUUCUGACUAGACACUUCCUGUCUGCAAGAGAGGAGGCAGAAGACCAGAGACCACUGUGUGUUCCAUGCUCCCGAGAAGUGGAUGGUAAGCCAAGUCUCUACAGCUAGAUGAUGAAGUAUGUUGCAGUAGGCGACUCUACAAGUGGACACAUGAACACUUCACCACACCUUUCUACCUCGCUAGAGCGUCUUCAUUCACAUUCCCAACUCUUAAGAACAUGCACUUGUGUGUGUGUGUGUCUCUGUGUGUGUGUGUGUGUGUACAGGCUACCAGUCAGGUAGCUUGAGGUCCCUGCCUCAAGGGAAGGGCACAUUCCUGUCACUCAACACUACGGGAAUCCCAGUCCUGAAGUGACUUUAAGAUCUCACAGCUGCCAACAGGCCUCUAAGGCCUCGGGGUGGAGGGAAACCAAGAGCUCUAACACGGUGUGACCAGGCCUUUCCACAUGAAGCUGGACGGCCUACGCCACACACAGGCAUAUUGAGGGCUCUGAGCGGUGGCCUGGGGAGUGGCUGCCCGCAUCCUACAGAGCCCUGCAGUGGUUAUGUUUGAGACUGGGAAAUCUCCUGGGGACAAACGACCCGUGCACACAGGAGCACACAAGAGAAGUGGAGUGGGAGGAGCCAGGUCCUAGUCCAGCUCUGCCCCAGCAGGGCCUCCAGGGUCCAGUGAGCUCCUGCGGGGCAGGCAGAGCAGGAUGGCUGCUGAUGAGAGAACAAGGAGAGGCCUGUGUGCCUCAGCUGCACACUGC
rnacentral:lncRNA from 1 species